UUUCUUCUACAUCAUAUUCAAACUUGUCCAAAUAAAUAAUAAAGUCAUCUCGGCUCAAACAAGACCGUCUAAACUUCAUACAAUUAAUAUAGAACCUAUAUCCUAAUGUCACAUCCUAUCAGAGCGUUGUGUUCCCGUGUCCUCUAGCAUGAGGUUCUUCAUAGUCAUCCACCUAUUCAUCUGCUCCCCCGAACAUAAAGUUCAAGAUCAUCACAUGAUCCAAACACAAACAACAAACCGGGAGUGAGUUAUCACAUUCCUAACUUCUAGAGAGAGACAAGACAACAUAUAGUAGCCAAAUACAAUUUACUUAGCAUAUCUCACAUUAUUUCAUCACUUUGUCAUUCAAAAUUCACUUUUUAAUCAUCAAUCACAAUACACAAGAAUCACACACUCCGAUCAAGACAUAAUAACACAUUAAUUUCAUAAUAAACAAUUAGCAAGCGUAUGCAACAGUUAUGCUAAGACUCAAGCCUAUAUGCAAUGUGGUACCAUGUCAGUGAAAAACCUCGUCGGGCGCCUAGGAGUACAUGACAAGACAAACCACACACUAGCAAGUCAAGUCACUCUCACUAGGUAAUAUCAUAGGGACACCAGUCAGGGUCACAGUAUUUUGCGAGAAUGCUCUAACCAUAUGGGAUCAACAUAGACUUAAGGGAGCACUCAAACCGUGUGACCCCCAAGGCCUACACUCCGAAUAGUCCGUCAGGGCCUCUCCCUCCUGAUUCAGGUCCAACCCAGAAAACAUUUUAGCACACAGACUCUAUUUAUGAACUGCACAAAACACACGACUCCUCAAUUGUUCUCAAAAUAGUUUUAACUCGUCGCCCUAAGAGGGACUUAACAUUAACUUGUCGCCCUUAAAGGGACUUAACAUUAACUCGUCGCCCAAAAAAGGACUUAAAAUUAACUCGUCGCCCUUAAAGGGACUUAGCAUUAACUCGCCACCCUUAAAGGGACUUAUAGUCGUGUGAUUGUACAAUUCAUAGUUAAUACUCAAUGCACACAACAUCUCAAUCACAUACAUACACAAUUUAUCACAUACACUCGAUCUCAAUCACAAUGGUAUAAUCUCAAAAUAGUAUGUUAUCACAUCUCAUGAAUCAUAUUCACUUUACCUAUGAACUAUGCAAUAUACACAACUACUCAAUUGUUUUCAAAAUAAUUUUAACUCGUCGGGUUCCCACAAUGGAUCCCAUCACAAUACUCGCCGCCCUUAAAGGGUCUUACAAUUGUGUGAUUGCAUAGUUCAUAGUUCACAACUCAAUACACACAUCUCAUCUCAAUACGCAUGUAUUUCAUCAUCCGUCACAUGUUCAAUUUAUCACAUAAUCACAGUUUGAAUCAUCAUUUCAUAACCUCAACAUAACAAUUUAUGCAAAAGAUUUUAUCACAACAUGGGGUGUAAAAUCCUUGAAAUAGUUUCUCACAAUUAUAUCAAAAUCAAUUAAUCAAAUUCAUGGGUUAAACACAAAGACAUCAAGAGCACUCAAGUUUAUCAAUCAAUUCUCAUCAGGACAUCAAUUGGUACAUAAAACACAAUAAUAUUGUAUUUAUAAUCAUAAAGAGAAAAUUAUAAUUCAAUAAACAUCCUAAAAUAAACCCAAAUUUAGUUCUCUAAAGAUCUCUACACAUGUUCAUUCUAACCCCCAAUUGCGAUAAACUCAUCCCUUACCUCUGAGCGGACUCACGUGUCUUCCGACAGCGAUAGCGGCAUCUCUAGCGGUUCCAUGAGAUUCCUCCAGUUAUUCCUUCGACUGCUCCGAUAGAAUUCCCAAACAUCAGAGAGACGGAGAAGAGAUUGAACUGUCUUCAUGUGAUUCCUUUUUUUCCCUCCAAAAAUAUUAUCUCGCAAAUCCCAACGGUAGAAGUGUGCACAAUUAAAUUUCGAACAACGUAUCCAAAUUUCAUGAAAAUCCAACGGUUAACGAAACCGGAAUCAUAGUUUUACUAAGACUGUUUUGGGUUUCUACGAGAAAAGAGAAAGCUACUGUGUGAAGGGUAUUCCUCCUAGCUCUGACAUGUUUUUACAAUUUCCAUCGGUGAGAAUUCUCGGAAUUGGGUUGUGAAGGUGGUGCUCAAAUUUCAUGACGAUCCAACGGGGAAUGAGCCCGAGAUCGUCAUUUUUCUGAGACAAGUUUUGGGGGCUGCGAAAAAAAGAAAGAGUUUUGAAAGGAGAAGGAGAAAAAACGAAAGUGAGGGAAAAAAGAGACAACGUCAGUCUAAACCUGACCUAAUAUUGCUAU
rnacentral:lncRNA from 1 species